rnacentral:rRNA from 1 species
UACAGAGGUCUCAAGCGUUGUUCGGAUUCAUUGGGCGUAAAGGGUGCGUAGGUGGCGCGGUAAGUCGGGUGUGAAAUUUCGGAGCUUAACUCCGAAACUGCAUUCGAUACUGCCGUGCUUGAGGACUGGAGAGGAGACUGGAAUUUACGGUGUAGCAGUGAAAUGCGUAGAUAUCUGGAGGAACACCGGUGGCGAAGGCGGCAUCCUGGACCAACACUGACGCUGAGUGAGCGAAAGCCAGGGGAGCAAACGGG